rfam:Triticum aestivum genome assembly, contig: Triticum_aestivum_CS42_TGACv1_scaffold_499497_6BL
UAAGUACUCCCUCCGUCCAAAAAAGCUUGUCCCUCAAAUGGAUGUAUCUAGUACUAACUUGAUGCCAGAUACAUCUAUUUGAGAGACAAGUUUGGGACAGGCUUUUUCGAACGGAGCGAGUACCAA